rnacentral:rRNA from 1 species
UACGUAGGGGGCAAGCGUUGUCCGGAUUGACUGGGCGUAAAGCGCACGCAGGCGGUGGUGCGCGUGGGGGGUGAAAUCUGGCCGCUUAACGGCCAGGCGCCAUCCCAUACGGCACGACUGGAGGGCUGCAGAGGUCGAUGGAAUUGCCGGUGUAGUGGUGAAAUGCGUAGAGAUCGGCAGGAACACCCAGGGGGAAACCAGUCGACUGGGCAGCACCUGACGCUGAGGUGCGAGAGCGUGGGGAGCGAACCGG